UACGUAGGGUGCAAGCGUUGUCCGGAAUUAUUGGGCGUAAAGAGCUCGUAGGCGGUUUGUCGCGUCUGCCGUGAAAGUCCGGGGCUCAACUCCGGAUCUGCGGUGGGUACGGGCAGACUAGAGUGAUGUAGGGGAGACUGGAAUUCCUGGUGUAGCGGUGAAAUGCGCAGAUAUCAGGAAGAACACCCGUGGCGUAAGGCGGCUCUCUAGGUAACGGCAACUGACGCUGAGACGCGAAAGCGUGGGGAGCAAACAGG
rnacentral:rRNA from 1 species